CCCUCACCCAUAUUAGUGGCUUCCUUUAACUCAAUAAACACAUCACACAACGUGUCAUAUGCUCUACGCUAUACAUUUCCACCCACGCAUUUAGAACAUUAUAAAUAACCAAACAGUUUAUAACCGUCCCACGUGAGCGUCGUGCACGAUCCAGUCAAUCAGAAUUCUGAUUGACAAAAACGAUUAAUAACCCCAGUUUAAAGAGAAGGGAAAAGCGUGGGGAAGCGGAAAAGGGUGUGACGCAGACGAGGCUACAAGAAAGCCAAGCCAACGGUUUGCGGAAGUAAGAAAGGAUGAGAAAAAUGAAAAGGACGAUGAUCAAAUCUCAGCAUCGCCAUUAUAAUCUAAGAGAGACCUGCCAGUGGAUUUCGAGAGAAGACAGGCUCUACUGCAGACGUUGUUCCGCAGGGUGGUUGCCCUCGUCUGCGCUUUGUGGGAAAUGCCCGCUCAAUAACGCCUCCCUUCUCGCUCUCUUUCUCUCCCUCCC